rfam:Myotis brandtii contig218169, whole genome shotgun sequence.
AGAGGCCCUCCGCGGCUGGGGCAGAAUGCUUGCCUCAUUGCCAUGGAAACGAAGCAAGUAUUCUGCCAGGCUGCUCACACUGCCUGC